GUGGCGUACGGGUGAGUAACACGUGGAUGAUCUGCCCUUUAGUGGGGAAUACCGCUGGGAAACCGGCGACAAUACCGCAUAAGCUCGAGAGAGGAAAGCAGCAAUGCGCUGAAGGAGGAGUCCGCGGCCGAUUAGCUAGUUGGUAGGGUAAUGGCCUACCAAGGCUGUGAUCGGUAGCCGGCCUGAGAGGGCACACGGCCACACUGGCACUGAAACACGGGCCAGACUCCUACGGGAGGCAGCAGUGGGGAAUCUUGCACAAUGGGGGAAACCCUGAUGCAGCGACGCCGCGUGAGCGAUGAAGCCCUUCGGGGUGUAAAGCUCUUUCGGCAGGGAAGAUUAUGAC
rnacentral:rRNA from 1 species